UUAGUCUUUUAAUUGAAGACUGGAAUGAAAGAGUUCACUGGAAGAAAAUUUUUUAAAAUAAAAUAAUGAAGUUAACUUUUUAGUAAAAAGGCUAAAAUUUUUCUUAAAGACGAGAAGACCCUAUAAAACUUUAUACUCUAAAAAUUUUAGGGGUUUUGUGGGUAUUUUGCUGGGGCGGCAAAGGAAUGAAGCUUCUUUUAAUUUUUAAAACAAUUGUGUUUUUAUAACCAAAAAUUUUGAAGGAAGAAUAAGUUACUUUAGGGAUAACAGCUUAAUUCUUUUUGAAAGUUCAAAUUGACAAGAGAGAUUGUGACCUCGAUGUUGAAUUAAUUUCCUUUAGAACGCAAAAG
rnacentral:rRNA from 1 species